rnacentral:lncRNA from 13 species
UACUGCAGUUCUGACAUACUGGUAGUCUGGGUGGAUUAUAAUGUAGCCUGGGUGGAUUAUAAUGUAGCCUGGGGGGGGGAUUAUAAUGUAGCCUGGGUGAAUUAUAAUGUAGCCUGGGUGGAAUAUAAUGUAGCCUGGGUGAAUUAUAAUGUAGUCUGGGUGGAUUAUAAUGUAGUCUGGGUGGAUUAUAAUGUAGCCUGGGUGAAUUAUAAUGUAGUCUGGGUGGAUUAUAAUGUAGCCUGGGUGAAUUAUAAUGUAGUCUGGGGGGAUUAUAAUGUAGCCUGGGUGGAUUAUAAUGUAGCCUGGGUGGAUUAUAAUGUAGCCUGGGUGGAUUAUAAUGUAGUCUGGGUGGAUUAUAAUGUAGCCUGGGUGGAUUAUAAUGUAGCCUGGGGGGGGGAUUAUAAUGUAGCCUGGGUGAAUUAUAAUGUAGCCUGGGUGGAAUAUAAUGUAGCCUGGGUGAAUUAUAAUGUAGUCUGGGUGGAUUAUAAUGUAGUCUGGGUGGAUUAUAAUGUAGCCUGGGUGAAUUAUAAUGUAGUCUGGGUGGAUUAUAAUGUAGCCUGGGUGAAUUAUAAUGUAGUCUGGGGGGAUUAUAAUGUAGCCUGGGUGGAUUAUAAUGUAGCCUGGGUGGAUUAUAAUGUAGCCUGGGUGGAUUAUAAUGUAG